GACGAACGCUGGCGGCGUGCCUAAUACAUGCAAGUCGAACGCAGUGGGGACGGGUGAGUAACACGUGGGUAACCUCCCAUCAGAGGGGAUAACACUUGGCAACAGGUGCUAAACCGAUACUGAUGGAUGGACCCGCGGUGCAUUAGCUAGUUGGUGAGGUAACGGCGCACCAAGGCCACGAUGCAUAGCCGGGCUGAGAGGGUGAUCGGCCACACUGGGACUGAGACACGGCCCAGACUCAUACGUGAGGCAGGAGUAGGGAAUAUUCGGCAAUGGACGAAAGACUGACCGAGCAAUGCCGCGUGAGUGAAGAAGGUUUUCGGAUCGUAAAACACUUUUGGUAGAGAAGCGGUAUCUAAACAGAAAGCAACGGCUAACUACGUGCCAGCCGCCGCGGUAAUUC
rnacentral:rRNA from 1 species